rnacentral:rRNA from 1 species
UACGUAGGGGGCUAGCGUUGUCCGGAAUCAUUGGGCGUAAAGAGCGCGUAGGCGGCCAGAUAAGUCCGGUGUGAAAGUCAAAGGCUUAACCUUUGAAUGCCGCUGGAAACUGUCUGGCUAGAGUCCGGAAGAGGAGAGUGGAAUUCCUGGUGUAGCGGUGAAAUGCGCAGAUAUCAGGAAGAACACCCGUGGCGAAGGCGGCUCUCUGGGACGGUACUGACGCUGAGACGCGAAAGCGUGGGGAGCGAACAGGG